CUGGAACAAACGCCCUCACGGGUGCUACCCAGAAACCCUUUGUGAAUACUACCUAAAAUGUUGCCUCGGCAUUGGUUGGCCUCCUUGAGGUCCCUUUCCCUCGGGGAAGGAGCAGACCGGCCGGUGGCCCUAUAAACUCUUGUUUUUGUAAUAUCAUCUGAGUAAAAAACAUAAAUAAAUCA
rnacentral:misc_RNA from 1 species